AUGAUCCUCAAAUUGAAACCCAGAUCUCAGAUCUAUCAGCAGGAAGAACAAAAUGAAGAAAGAAACCUGGUGAUAAAAGUGCUUUUGGCUAGUCAAAGGUACCUAAAAUUGCACAUUAUUCUCAGCAGCAAGAAUACAAAGAUUUGGCAGAUAGAAGUCAUGAGAACAAGGUACCUAAAAUUGCACAUUAUACUCAGCAGCAAGAAUACAAAGAUUUGGCAGAUACAAGUCAUGAGAACAAGGUACCUAAAAUUGCACAUCAUUCUCAGCAGCAAGAAUACACAGAGUUUGCAGAUAGAAGUCAUGACAACAAGGUGCUCAAAAAUUUGUAUCAACGCAACAAACAUAUGCAGCCACUUAUAG
rnacentral:rRNA from 1 species